UACGGAGGAUGCAAGCGUUAUCCGGAAUGAUUGGGCGUAAAGCGUCCGCAGGUGGCUGUGUAAGUCUGCUGUCAAAGAGCGAAGCUCAACUUCGUAAAGGCAGUGGAAACUACACGGCUAGAGUGCGUUCGGGGCAGAGGGAAUUCCUGGUGUAGCGGUGAAAUGCGUAGAGAUCAGGAAGAACACCGGUGGCGAAAGCGUUCUGCUAGGCCUGUACUGACACUGAGGGACGAAAGCUAGGGGAGCGAAUGGG
rnacentral:rRNA from 1 species